rnacentral:rRNA from 1 species
UUGAGAGUUUGAUCCUGGCUCAGAACGAACGCUGGCGGCAG